UUUUCUUCUUACUACGGGUGAGCUGGCUACCAUGCAGUCGAGGGGAACGGCAGAGAGUGCUUGCACACUUUGGACGUCGACCGGCGCACGGGUGAGUAACGCGUAUCCAACCUGCCCUUUACUUGGGGAUAACCCGUUGAAAGACGGACUAAUACCCAAUGAUAUUCAUUGAUGACAUCUGAUUUGAAUUAAAGAUUUAUCGGUAUAGGAUGGGGAUGCGUCUGAUUAGCUUGUUGGUGAGGUAACGGCUCACCAAGGCCACGAUCAGUAGGGGUUCUGAGAGGAAGGUCCCCCACAUUGGAACUGAGACACGGUCCAAACUCCUACGGGAGGCAGCAGUGAGGAAUAUUGGUCAAUGGACGAGAGUCUGAACCAGCCAAGUAGCGUGCAGGAUGACGGCCCUAUGGGUUGUAAACUGCUUUUGUUUGGGAAUAAUCGACAUUACGUGUAAUGUUUUGCAUGUACCAUUCGAAUAAGGACCGGCUAAUUCCGUGCCAGCAGCCGGCGGUAAUAUUU
rnacentral:rRNA from 1 species